rnacentral:rRNA from 1 species
GGCCAGACUCCUACGGGAGGCAGCAGUGGGGAAUAUUGGGCAAUGGAGGAAACUCUGACCCAGCAACGCCGCGUGAAGGAUGAAGGUUUUCGGAUUGUAAACUUCUGUCGCGAGGGACGAAGAAUGACGGUACCUCGUAAGAAAGCCCCGACUAACUACGUGCCAGCAGCCGCGGUAAUACGUAGGGGGCGAGCGUUAUCCGGAUUUACUGGGUGUAAAGGGAGCGUAGACGGCAGUGCAAGUCUGGAGUGAAAGGCGGGGGCUCAACCCCCGGACUGCUCUGGAAACUGUACGGCUGGAGUGCAGGAGAGGUAAGUGGAAUUCCUAGUGUAGCGGUGAAAUGCGUAGAUAUUAGGAGGAACACCAGUGGCGAAGGCGGCUUACUGGACUGUAACUGACGUUGAGGCUCGAAAGCGUGGGGAGCAAACAGGAUUAGAUACCCUCGUA